ensembl:lncRNA
UUUUUUUUGUGAUAAACGUUCCUUUUUAAAGAGUACUGGGGAGGAGGGUUGGAGGAGGAGGAAGUUGGGCAAAGUCAGUCCAGGCAGAAGGCAAAUCGCCUCAGUGGGAGAACUGCCUGCGGCCUGCUGGCUUCUUACUGAUGUGUUUAAAGAUCUUGGACUUCUCCACUUUCUUUGUUUUCUGGUAGCCGAAUCCCCCGCCACCACCUCUCUUUUUAAGCUUGCUGCUGUGGCUGCUCACAUUCAGAUCAACAAAGGGAGGGACCUUAAAACCAAAAGACAGAGCAACUUGAGGCAAAUUUAAGUUGUUGACAUUGAAGAUCUGCUUGAGAGAAGUGGAGUCAUAUGCCCGUAUGUAGGAUUUGUACGCUUCCUGGGCAGACUUGUGCAGAAAGUAGUUCUUUUCGAUCAGUUUUUCCAGUGGAGACUGAAUAUCAGAAACUUUAGACCAGGAGAAGUCAAACUGACUCAAUGGAAACUUGGAUUGUUUCAAGUAACGAAGGAAACCCAGCUCUUCAGGGCCCAGGAUGAGCAGGGAGUGCCCUCUUCCAUUCAGGCCCUGGGCUGUUCUGCCGACCCGAUGAAUGUAUUCCUUGGGGUCAUCGGGAGGGUCGUACUGAACAAUCCAGUCCAUUUCAGGGAUGUCCAGCCCUCUGGCCGCCACAUCGGUGCAUAGCAGUAUUCCCGAAUCUGCGUUGCAGAAUUGGAAGAACGUGGUUGUUCGCUUAUUUUGCUUUUGCUGUCCAUGGAUGGCCAAGACAGGCAGGUCAAUGUAGUUCAGCAGCUCAUAGUGGUAUUUCACUAACAUACAGGAUGAAAAGACCAUCACUUUCUUCUCCCGGUUCUUAAGGAAUGUGAAAAGCAGAAGGAACCUCUUCUCAGAGGGAUAAACAACAUACCCCUGCUCAAGACCAUCCACUGUGGCAACCUCUUUGUUGUCGUCAACGCCCAUGUACAGUGGCUCUUUUUUCAGAGAAAUUCUUGCCAAGUCUUCAACUUUUCGAGUUUGUGUGGCAGAGAAGAGCAUGGUUUGCCUACGUGCUGGCAAAAGUUUAAUGAUCUGCUUUAAUUCUUCUUCAAACCCAACAUCCAAGAUACGGUCAGCCUCAUCGAUAACCAGACACUGCAGGUUCUUGUACGUAAACCCUGGUGUGUUCUGCAUGUGGUCUAGGAGCCGGCCUGGGGUGGCCAGGACGAUGUUGAUCCCAUUGAGAAGCUUCUGCACUUCAGCAGACCUGUUACUGCCACCCAUGAUCAGCCCGUACGUGUGAACGUGGUGUGUCCUCAGUUCCUUAAGCACACCAAAGGUCUGCAUGGCCAGUUCUCUGGUAGGAGAGAGAAUCAGGACUCCUGUUCCAUUCCUGGGCAUGAACUUCAGUUUGACAAUGAGCUCGAUCACAGGGAUGAGGAAAGUGAGGGUCUUGCCGCUGCCAGUUUUCGCAGCCGCCAGAAGAUCCCUGCCUUCCAGAAGUGGCCUGAUACUUUUAUGCUGGAUCUCUGUCAUGUGCUUGAAGCCCAUUUCUUCUAUGGCCUUCAGGGUGUUCUCAUUGACGCCGUCUUCUGGUUCCUCACGAGCCUCCGUGCUUUCUUCAGUUUUUGCUUUUUUGGUAUCAGGCUCAGCGUCAUUUCCAAUUUUCCUCUUCUUCUUUAGUUCUGGAUCUGUAGACGGCAUUGCUGCUGCUUCUCCAUUGGUUAAAAUGCUAAGUUUUUGGGGUGACUUUUUUUUUUUUGGUUCUUUUUUUCGGAGCUGGGGAUCGAACCCAGGG